CUCUCUCACUGGCAGCAACCCAGCGCUUCCAUUGCUGACCUCUACCGACCUCUACCUGUGGUCCUUCCUCUACUGCAGCAGAGACACUGUUUUCUUCCUUUGUUCUUCCAACCCCAUGGCACAGAAACACUCUCCACUGCGGCCAAGGAUUGCAGGAGAGGUGGCAUCAGUGAUUCAAGACUUCUUUUCCUACCUCUUCAGUGUUUCUUUCAGUGAUCUGAAGUUAAAGCCAGGUACCAUAAGUGCUCACCUGAUUUUUGCUGCUUACAAAGGGGGAAUAUCACAGAAGUGAAGUGCAAUUCUCAUCAUGUCAUAUCAAGAGCACACACUAACAAACAACAUGACUUAUUGCUGAAUAUUGAACUUGAUCACCUGGCUGAGGUAGUGUUUGCCAGAUUUCUCUGUAAAGGUGAAUAAACUGACACUGGAACAUUCAGGAACUUCUUCAUGGUCAUGGUCACCCAGCUAGAGUGUGGAAGCCAGGCUGUCUGAUUCCAGGAUCUGUGUUCUUAAUCCUAUACAUAAGGAAGCCAUAAUGAGUCAACCACUAUUUUUAAGAUUCACAGAUGUUCGGGUCCAAUUCACCAGAAUGCCAAGUUAUACAGGGUUGUGGAAUCAAAAACUGCAAUUAGUAAUAAAAUGUGAUGCUAUCUAGAAUGUUUUUCAUACAUAUAUAUGCUUCUUGGGACUCUCCCUGCAGGUUAAGAGAAAUUGAGAAACGAUGGAGAAUUUAAGUGUUUUAGAUCCUACAUACAUUAGACUUAAAAAUAGUAACUAUGUACAUGAGUAUUUGUAAACUUAAGAAUGAACAUAACAUGAACCAUGUGGCACCUAUAAAAUGAAAAUAAAAUACCUACAAACCAAAUGAGAGCAAUAAAAGAAGCUUUAAGGACUUUCACUUCAGGGAGUCUGAAUUAGAUGCGCUUCUUCCCAUUCCUCCCUCUAAUUACAACAAGCUUGGACGUUACAUACAGAACAAACAGAAGGAGUCUCUGAAAGAUGAAGAGAAGGCAAGUAAGCUACAGACUUCACAAUGUAAGGAAUAAUAUGGUGGUGAGUUACAUUUGUGAUUUUUUUUUGUCUCAUAUCCCAUAAUAUCUCAUAUCUCAUAAUCAGUUAGAAAGCACAAUGGAAAAGUAUUCCACUGCCAAUGGUGUUAGAGAACUGCUCACAAAUUCAACAGAAAUGCACAGAUACCAAAGCAGAAAGGACAAUAAACAAGAGUCUUCAUGGUCAAAAGAUUAGAAGCUGCAGCUUUCAAUGGGAGGGACAGGUUCUGGACCACACUGCAGUGCUUUUCUGCUUUCUGUGCUUUCCCACUCUAGAGCUGAAGAAGGUAACGACCCCAAAAUGUCAAUAUACGUAGACCAAAAACCAGCCCCAAUAAAAGUCUGCUCUCUCUAGCCAAAGGACUACAGUAGGGCAGCCCAGCAAGACAGAAAACCUUCAGACAACCUACCCCAGCCAAACACUACCAAAAAAAGUAAAGUGAGCCAUCACCCAAUCCACAUCAGUAAAAACUAAGUGGAAAGUCCAGACUUUCACCUCAAGAGGUUGCGACAAGCUACUCCAAUACCCCUGCUGGGAUAGUGUCACAGAAGGCUAAAUAAGGAGCUGUAAUGUUGAUUCCCCUCCAGAAGUAAAGAGUCCGUACCUGCUAUUUUCAGAGAGACCACAUGGAAAGCCUAGAUUUCAACACCUACCCAGCAUUAAUGAGGUAUUCCUUCCCUUCUUUACUCUCUGGUGUCAAAGAAGCUCCAUGCAGAGUCAGAAUGUUUGGCAUUACUCCUCAGUAGGGAGGCCACCCCCACCACGGUGUUAGUGGAGACCAUGUGAGGACCAGGACUUGUACCCUGCCCAGAAGUAAUGAGUAGACCCCCCUCUACAGGAAGGCCAAAGGGCAACCUAAACUUCUACCUCUCUCUGGCAGUAAUAAAGUAGGGCCUCACUUUUCCCUGCUGAGCAAUGUCAAAAAAAAAAGCCAGCUGAAGUAAAAGCUUAUUUCUUUCUUUCUUUAUACAUAUUUUUGGAGACAGGGUCUUAUUCUGUCACCCACGCUGGAGUACAGUGGCCUCAUCAGGUCUCACUGCAGCCUCAACCUCCUGGGCUCAAGCAAUCCUCCCACCUCAGCCUCUUGAGUAGCUGAGACCACAGAUGUGCACCACCACACAUAGCUAACAUUAACAUUUUUUCUAGAGAUGGGGUCUUCCUGUGUUGCCCAGGCUGGUCUGGAACUCCUGGGCUCAAGUGAUCCUCCCACCUUGACCUCCUGGAGGGCUGGGAUUACAGGUAUGAGUCAUCACUCCAGGCUGAAGCUUUAUAUAAUAACCAGAGUCUCAUAUUACAAAAUGUCAAAGAUUCAGUCAAAAGUUACUUGAUAUCAAUGGACAAGAUCUCAAACUAAAUGAAAAAAAGACAAUUAAUAGAUGCUAACACUGAGAUAACAAAGUUGUUAGAAUCAUCUAACAAAGAUUUUAAAGCAGCUAUAAUAAAAGUGCUACUGCAAGUGAUUAUAAACAUGCUUGAGACAAAUGAAAAAGUGCUAUAAAGCUAAGAAAUAAAAUAUAUAAAUAAGAAUCAAAGAGAAAUUAUAGAACUAAAAGAUACCAUAACUGAAAUGCAAAGCUCCGUGGAUGGACUCAACAACAGAAUGGAAAAGACUGAGGAAAGAAGUAGUUUACAGGAAAUUAGAAUAGACUAGAAAAAAUGAACAAGACCCUGUGCUAAAGAGCAAAUAUUUAUGUCAUUGGAUUCCAGGAAAGAGAAAAGAAUGAAAAAGUACUUAAAUAAUGGCUUAAAAACUUCUCACAUUUUGCAAAGAUUUAAACCUACAAUUUGAGAAGCUGGGUAAACCUUAAACAGGAUAAAUCAAGGACACUCACACCAAGAAACAUAGUAAUUAAACUUCUGAUUAAGGAAGAAAAAGAAAAAUCUGGAAAGCAGCAAGAAAAAAAUGACACACUUUCUAUAUGGUAAAAGCAAUUUGAACAACAGAAGAUUUCUCAUCAGAAACUGUGGGGACCAUGAGGAAGUAACAGAUAUUUUUCAAGUGCUGAAAUAAAUCAACUGUCAAUACAAAAUGCUCUACUCAGUGAAAAUAUCUUUCAGGAAUAAAGGGGAAAUCAGGACACGCACAGACUUUUUUUAAAUUAAGAAUUUAUUGUCAGCUUAUCUCCCUAAAAGAAUGGCUAACAUUCUCCAAACACGAAGGAAAUUGAUAAGGAAUCUUGAAAUUUCAGUUAGAAACAAUGAAUAUGGCAAGCAAAAUGUAGGUCAGUACACUAAGUUUAAUUUCUCCUCUUGAAUUUUCUAAAUUAUGACUUAUGAUUGAAGCAAAAAUCAUAACAUUAUCUGAUGUAUAUGUAGAGGAAAGAUUUAAGACAGUGAUGUUAUAAAUGAGGGGAGUAAAGGAACAUGAGAUAACCACUAAUAUGACAUACCAAUAGACUAUGAUAAAUUAUGUGUCUAAUGUGAUUACUAGAAAAACCAGUUAAAAUAUAAAGAUUGACGGAGUGAAUUUAAAAACAUGACACACUAUAUGCUGUUUAUCAUAAACUCACUUUGAAGAUAAUGCCAUCGUCAGGUUGAAAUCAAAAGGAAUAAAAUAGUGUAUUAUGUAAACCAUCAAAAAGAGCAGGAAUGGCCAUAUUAAUAACAUUAAAGUCAGCUUCAGAACUAAGGAAAUUAUCAGAGAGGGACAUUAUAUAAUGAAAUAGUCGAUUUACCAAAAGAACAUAGCAAUCAUAAAUGUGCAUGAAGCAAACAACAAAGCUGGAAAAUAUAUGAAGUGAAACUGAUAGAUCUAAAAGGAGAAACAGAUAAAUCCAUUCAUUAUAGUUGGGGCCUUUAUCACCCCUCACUCAACAAUUGAUAGAACUGGACAGAAAACCAGUAAGAAUAUAAAAGAACUCAACAACAUGAGACAAUAGGAUCUAGUUGAUAUUUAUAGAACAUUCCAACAGCAGAAUACAUGUUCUUCAAGUGCUCACAGAACACACAUAUAAAGAUAGACCCUGAGCAUAAAACAAGCCUCAACAAAUUUAAAAGAACUGAAAUACUACAAGUACUUUCUCCAACCACAAAAGAACCAAACUAGAAAUAAAUAACAAUGAUAAUGGGAAAAUCACCAAACACUUGAAAACUGAACAACAAUAUUUUAUAACCCAUGGUCAUAGAGGAAAUCUCAAAAGAAAUUUUAAAAAUGCACUGAACUGAAUGAAAAUGAAAACAACAUAAAAUUUGUGAGACACAUAAAGCAGAACUGAUGGGAAAAUAUAUAGCACUAAAUGCAUGCUCUAGAAAAGAAAAGUCUUCAACCAGUAACCUAAGCUUCCACCUCAAAAACCUAAAAAAAGAAGGAAAAAUAGACCCAAUGCCAGCAGAAAGAUGCAAUAACAAAGAGUAGAACUCAAUGAAAUUGAAAACAGAUAAACACUUUAAAGAAUAAAACAAAGAGCUGGUUAUUAGAAAAGAUCAAUUAAUUGAUAAACCUCAAGCAAGACCGUCAAAAAAAAAAAAAAAAGGACUUACCUAUACCAGAGAUGAAAUGGGAUAUCGCUAUCAAUACUGCAAACAUCAAAAGGAUAAGUAGAUACUAUGAACUGUACACACAUUAAUCUGACAAUUUAGACAAAAUAGAUCAUUUCCCUAGAAAACACAAACUACUACAGCUUACCCAAUAUAAAAUAGAUUAUUUGAAUAGCCUUAUAAGUACUAAAAAAAAAUUAAUUAAACUCAUUAUUUAAAAAUUCCUAAAAAGAAAGCCUCCAGAGCCAAAUUGUUUCCUUCAGAAUUCCACCACAUUCAUAAAGAUUUGACAGCAAUUCUAUACAGUCUCUUUGAGAAAAUAGAAGGGGGUAUUUUCUAAUUCAUUUUAAGGAGCUAGUAAAUACCCUGAUACUGAAAUGUAUACUGCAAAUUGAUAAAAUUAUAGACCCCUGCAUAUUAAAUUUCAAAAUAAAAAUGAUAAAAAUACUUGGGUAAUGAAUAACAGCAUAACAAAAAACCACAGACCAAUAUCUCAUGAACAUAGACACAAAAAAUGCUUCACAAUAUGACAUAGAAUUCAGUAAUACAUGAGAAUUAUAUACCACAACCCAGUAAGACUUAAUCCAAGAAUGGAAGACUGGCUCAAUAUUUAAAAAUCAAUCGAUGUAGUGCAAAUAUUAAUAGCUAAUGAAGAAAUGUCAUAAAAUUAAUGCAGAAAAAGGAUUUGACAAAAUUCAACACUCAUUUAUGUAAAAAUGCUCUGAAAAAUAGGAAUUAAAGGACACCUACAAGAAACUUUCAGCUAACAUAAUUCUUAAUGCUGAAUGAUUGAAUGUUUUCUUCCUGAGCUUGAGAAUAAGGUGAGGGUAUCAUCCCUAAUGACGCUUAUUCAACAUAGUGCUCAAAGUUCUAUGAAGUGCAAUUAGGCAAUAAAGGGAAAUAAAAGACAGGUAAAAGAAGAAAUUAAAUUUUAUUUGAAAAAGCUGAUUGUCUACCUAGAAAAUCUCAAGGAAAACACUAUUAAUAUACAGAACAACCUGAAUGAAUCUUUGGAGAAUUACGCUGCAUCAGAAAAAGCCAAUCACAAAAGAUUACAUACUAUGUAAUUCCAUUUGUAUAACAUUUUGAACUGACAAAAGUAUAGAAAUGAACAGAUUAGUGGUUGUUAGGGGUGAGGGGUUAUGGGUCAGAGAUAGGAGUUGGGGAUAUAAAAAGGCAACCUGAGGGAUCCUUAUGGUGAUUGAAACAUUCUGUAUGUUGGUUCUAUCAAUGUCAAUACUCUGGUUGGACUAUGGUUCCACAGUUUUGCAAGAUGUUAUUGAGGAAAACGGCAUAAAUGGUGCCCAGGAUCUCUCUAUUGUUUCUUACUGAUUAUGUAUCUGCAAUGAUUGCAAAAUAAAAAGGUUUAAUUUUUAAAAAGGAUUAAACAUUACAUAGCAUACACUUGAGUAAAAGACAAAAUCUGGCUAAGGAUUAUUUUUGUCCUAAGUAAUAUGUGGAUUUUGUACAACAUAAAUCACAAUCCCCUAAAAUCUAUAUUGUAAAUUGAUAAAAUGUAAAACCUGUGUAUUACAGAAUAAAAGAUGAACAAAAAUUACAAAACA